GUUGAUCCCUGGCUCAGGAUUAACGCUAGCGGCAGGCAUAAUACAUGCAAGUUGAACGGGAUAAGUUUAGCAAUAGACUUUGAGAGUGGCGCACGGGUGCGUAACACGUAUGCAACCUGCCCUUGACUGGAGAAUAGCCUCUCGAAAGAGAGAUUAAUGUUCCGUAACAUAAUGGUAGAGCAUUCUAUUAUUAUCAAAGCUCCGGCGGUCAAGGAUGGGCAUGCGGUUGAUUAGCUAGUUGGUGAGGUAACGGCUCACCAAGGCGACGAUCAAUAGGGGGUCUGAGAGGAUGUCCCCCCACACUGGUACUGAGACACGGACCAGACUCCUACGGGAGGCAGCAGUAGGGAAUAUUGGACAAUGGAGGCAACUCUGAUCCAGCCAUGCCGCGUGCAGGAAGACUGCCCUAUGGGUUGUAAACUGCUUUUGUACGGGAAGAAACCCAUCUACGGGUAGGUGGUUGACGGUACCGUAAGAAUAAGGAUCGGCUAACUUCGUGCCAGCAGCCGCGGUAAUACGAAGGAUCCAAGCGUUGUCCGGAUUUACUGGGUUUAAAGGGAGCGUAGGCGGUCUAAUAAGUCAGUGGUGAAAGCCUUCAGCUUAACUGAAGAAUUGCCAUUGAAACUGCUAGACUCGAGUAUGGUUGAGGUCACUGGAAUGUAACAUGUAGCGGUGAAAUGCAUAGAUAUGUUACAGAACACCAAUUGCGAAGGCAGGUGACUAAGCCAUAACUGACGCUGAGGCUCGAAAGCGUGGGGAGCAAACAGGAUUAGAUACCCUGGUAGUCCACGCCCUAAACUAUGAAUACUCGGUCUUGGCGAUAUACAGUUCAGGGCCCAAGCGAAAGCGUUAAGUAUUCCACCUGGAAGUACGUUCGCAAGAAUGAAACUCAAAGGAAUUGACG
rnacentral:rRNA from 1 species